rnacentral:rRNA from 1 species
AUGAACGCUGGCGGCGUGCCUAAUACAUGCAAGUCGAACGCACUGACGUCGACUGAAGCUGCUUGCAGUGAAAGUCGAUCGACGUGAGUGGCGGACGGGUGAGUAACACGUGGGUAACUACCCUUAAUGGGGGAUAACAUUUGGAAACAGAUGCUAAUACCGCAUAACCAUACAGACCACAUGGUCUGUAUGUAAAAGAUGGCUUCGGCUAUCACUUUUGGACGGACCCGCGGCGUAUUAGUUAGUUGGUAAGGUAACGGCUUACCAAGACGGUGAUACGUAGCCGACCUGAGAGGGUAAUCGGCCACAUUGGGACUGAGACACGGCCCAAACUCCUACGGGAGGCAGCAGUAGGGAAUCUUCCACAAUGGACGAAAGUCUGAUGGAGCAACGCCGCGUGAGUGAAGAAGGGUUUCGGCUCGUAAAACUCUGUUGUUGGAGAAGAACAGGGACUAGAGUAACUGUUAGUCCUUUGACGGUAUCCAACCAGAAAGCCACGGCUAACUACGUG